GACGAACGCUGGCGGCGUGCUUAACACAUGCAAGUCGAACGGAAAGGCCCUGCUUGCAGGGUACUCGAGUGGCGAACGGGGGAGGAACACGUGGGUGAUCUGCCCUGCACUUCGGGAUAAGCCUGGGAAACUGGGUCUAAUACCGGAUAGGAGACAUUUUCAGUGUGAUGGUGGGAAAGUUUUUUCGGUGUAGGAUGAGCUCGCGGCCUAUCAGCUUGUUGGUGGGGGAAUGGCCUACCAAGGCGGCGACGGGUAGCCGGCCUGAGAGGGUGGACGGCCACAUUGGGACUGAGAUGCGGCCCAGACUCCUACGGGAGGCAGCAGUGGGGAAUAUUGCAGAAGCGGCGCAAGCCGGAUGCAGCGACGCCGCGUGGGGGAGGACGGCCUUCGGGUUGUAAACUCCUUUCGCUAGGGACGAAGCUUUUUGUGACGGUACCUAGAUAAGAAGCACCGGCUAACUACGUG
rnacentral:rRNA from 1 species